rnacentral:pre_miRNA from 7 species
GGCAGCUUGAGCCGGGACUGUUGAGUGAAGUAGGUAGUUUCAUGUUGUUGGGCCUGGCUUUCUGAACACAACGACAUCAAACCACCUGAUUCAUGGCAGUUACUGCUUCUUGCUUAGCUG